rnacentral:rRNA from 1 species
GCAGGCUAGAGUCUUGUAGAGGGGGGUAGAAUUCCAGGUGUAGCGGUGAAAUGCGUAGAGAUCUGGAGGAAUACCGGUGGCGAAGGCGGCCCCCUGGACAAAGACUGACGCUCAGGUGCGAAAGCGUGGGGAGCAAACAGGAUUAGAUACCCUGGUAGUCCACGCCGUAAACGAUGUCGACUUGGAGGUUGUGCCCUUGAGGCGUGGCUUCCGGAGCUAACGCGUUAAGUCGACCGCCUGGGGAGUACGGCCGCAAGGUUAAAACUCAAAUGAAUUGACGGGGGCCCGCACAAGCGGUGGAGCAUGUGGUUUAAUUCGAUGCAACGCGAAGAACCUUACCUACUCUUGACAUCCAGAGAACUUAGCAGAGAUGCUUUGGUGCCUUCGGGAACUCUGAGACAGGUGCUGCAUGGCUGUCGUCAGCUCGUGUUGUGAAAUGUUGGGUUAAGUCCCGCAACGAGCGCAAC